GAGUGCCGUGUUAAUGUCUCUGAUCACGUACAGGAUAAGCAAGCAGCGUUGGAUCUGGAUCGUUAACAACAGUGUGUAGAAGCAAGCUCAACGAUGUUAUUCUCAGAUCUGCUCUCUCUAUCUCUCCGAUCUGCUAUUAUGAAAAUGUCAAACAGUUUCUAAAAUUGGUGCUGGUGACUAGUUCGUUGGUGCUCUCCUAUGCAUAUUGAUGAUGACCUAUUUGUAGUUGAGGGCUUUAGGUGGAGGGAUCAUAGAGGUUAGUGCUUGGGUGCCAGACCAAGGUCUGCCACAAUGGAGCUUGCGGGCCAGCAAGCAUUCAGGAAGUUUUGUUUAUAAUUUUGCUGUGAUGGGUUGCUGUUGCUAAGGUGUUUGAUUUUGGUGACACCGUAUUUAUACGGGGUUCCUUCCUCAAUGGGAUUUACAACUUCUUUUUGAAGGAGAUGGGAUUCUGAUUAUGUACUAGAGGGAAGUGAAGGAACUCCUUUUGCAGGUGGAUAUUAUUAUGGGAAAAUCAAGUUUCCUCCAGAUUAUCCAUUUAAACCUCCAGGAAUCAGUAUGACUACUCCAAACAGAUGAUUUAUGACUUAAAAGAAAAUCUGUCUGUCUAUGAGUGAUUUUCAUCCAGAAAGUUGGAAUCCGAUGUGGUCUGUAUCAAGCAUACUUACUAGCCUUCUCUAUUUCAUGGUGAGAUUCUGAACUUAGUAUUAUAUGGCUAUUGUCUCCUAACUAUACAGGAUAGAUACACGACUAGAUGAAAUGUGCCUGAAAUUUUCUUUAUGGACAUCUCAAUCCCAUUUAUUUACAUACCAAACAGUCCUUAUUCAUUUGACUUUUGAGUC